UACGUAGGGGGCUAGCGUUGUCCGGAUUUAUUGGGCGUAAAGAGCGUGUAGGCGGCCAGAUAGGUCCUCUGUGAAAACUCGAGGCUUAACCUCGAGAUGUCGGUGGAAACCAUUUGGCUAGAGUCCGGAAGAGGAGAGUGGAAUUCCUGGUGUAGCAGUGAAAUGCGUAGAUAUCGUGAGGAAGACCAGUGGCGAAGGCGGGUCUCUGGACAGUUCCUGACACUGAGGCACGAAGGCCAGGGGAGCAAACGGG
rnacentral:rRNA from 1 species